CAACUACUCCCUCUGUCCCAAAUUUGUUGUCUUAGAUUUUUCUAGAUACGGAUGUAUCUAAUACUAAAAUGUGACUUGAUACAUCCGUAUCUAGACAAAUCUAAGACAAGAAUUUUGGGACGGAGGGAGUACUUC
rnacentral:pre_miRNA from 1 species